rnacentral:misc_RNA from 1 species
UGUGGGAGCGGGCUUGCUCGCGAACGCCGGAGCGUCAGUCAAUUUAUAGGUAACUGAUAGACCGCAUUCGCGAGCAAGCCCGCUCCCACA